ACUCCUACGGGAGGCAGCAGUGGGGAAUAUUGCACAAUGGGCGCAAGCCUGAUGCAGCCAUGCCGCGUGUAUGAAGAAGGCCUUCGGGUUGUAAAGCACUUUCAGUCGUGAGGAAGGUAGUGUAGUUAAUAGCUGCAUUAUUUGACGUUAGCGACAGAAGAAGCACCGGCUAACUCCGUGCCAGCAGCCGCGGUAAUACGGAGGGUGCGAGCGUUAAUCGGAAUUACUGGGCGUAAAGCGCAUGCAGGUGGUUUGUUAAGUCAGAUGUGAAAGCCCGGGGCUCAACCUCGGAAUAGCAUUUGAAACUGGCAGACUAGAGUACUGUAGAGGGGGGUAGAAUUUCAGGUGUAGCGGUGAAAUGCGUAGAGAUCUGAAGGAAUACCAGUGGCGAAGGCGGCCCCCUGGACAAAGACUGACGCUCAGAUGCGAAAGCGUGGGGAGCAAACAGGAUUAGAUACCCUGGUAGGAAACCG
rnacentral:rRNA from 1 species